UACGUAGGGGGCAAGCGUUGUCCGGAUUUAUUGGGCGUAAAGAGCGUGUAGGCGGCCAGGCAGGUCCGUUGUGAAAACUCGAGGCUCAACCUCGAGACGUCGAUGGAAACCGUCUGGCUAGAGUCCGGAAGAGGAGAGUGGAAUUCCUGGUGUAGCGGUGAAAUGCGCAGAUAUCGGGAGGAACACCAAUGGCGAAGGCAGCUCGCUGGGACGUUACUGACGCUGAGACGCGAAAGCGUGGGGAGCAAACAGG
rnacentral:rRNA from 1 species